GUAACAGGCUGAUGCGAUCCCUUCGGGGUGAACUAGGCGCUGACGAGUGGCGGACGGGUGAGUAAUACAUAGGAAUCUACCCAGUAGUGGGGGAUAACUUGGAGAAAUCCAUGCUAAUACCGCAUAUGUCCUACGGGGCAAAGCAGGGGACCCUCGGGCCUUGCGCUAUUGGAUGAGCCUAUGUCGGAUUAGCUAGUUGGUAGGGUAAAAGCCUACCAAGGCGACGAUCCGUAGCUGGUCUGAGAGGAUGAUCAGCCACACUGGAACUGAGACACGGUCCAGACUCCUACGGGAGGCAGCAGUGGGGAAUAUUGCACAAUGGGCGCAAGCCUGAUGCAGCAAUGCCGCGUGUGUGAAGAAGGCCUGCGGGUUGUAAAGCACUUUUAUUGGGAAAGAAAAACCCGGAGCUAAUACCUCCGGCAUUGACGGUACCCAAAGAAUAAGCACCGGCUAACUCAGUGCCAGCAGCCGCGGUAAUACUGAGGGUGCGAGCGUUAAUCGGAAUUACUGGGCGUAAAGCGAGUGUAGGCGGUUGCCUAAGUCGGAUGUG
rnacentral:rRNA from 1 species